rnacentral:rRNA from 1 species
AUUGAACGCUGGCGGCAGGCCUAACACAUGCAAGUCGAGCGGAUGAAGGGAGCUUGCUCCUGGAUUCAGCUGCGGACGGGUGAGUAAUUCCUAGGAAUCUGCCUGGUAGUUGGGGAUAACGUCCGUAAACGGGCGCUAAUACCGCAUACGUCCUGAUGGAGAAAGUGGGGGAUCUUCGGACCUCACGCUAUCAGAUGAGCCUAGGUCGGAUUAGCUAGUUGGUGGGGUAAAGGCCUACGAAGGCGACGAUCCGUAACUGGUCUGAGAGGAUGAUCAGUCACACUGGAACUGAGACACGGUCCAGACUCCUACGGGAGGCAGCAGUGGGGAAUAUUGGACAAUGGGCGAAAGCCUGAUCCAGCCAUGCCGCGUGUGUGAAGAAGGUCUUCGGAUUGUAAAGCACUUUAAGUUGGGAGGAAGGGCAGUAAGUUAAUACCUUGCUGUUUUGACGUUACCAACAGAAUAAGCACCGGCUAACUUCGUG